UCUAUUUUCCAGGUGUGGUUGCGGCCCCUGCGAAUCAACUCGCAGGCGGUAGGGGGAACACCCUCACGCGGCCACUUACCUAAAUCCUCUUUAUACGAGCACCUUUCGUUCUCCUUCGGCGGGGUUUCUCCGCCGCUGGAACAACAAAAACCUUUUUUGCAUCUAGCAUUACCUGUUCUGAUACAAACAAUCAUAA
rnacentral:misc_RNA from 1 species